rnacentral:rRNA from 1 species
GAUGAACGCUGGCGGCGUGCCUAAUACAUGCAAGUCGAGCGAACAGAUAAGGAGCUUGCUCCUUUGACGUUAGCGGCGGACGGGUGAGUAACACGUGGGUAACCUACCUAUAAGACUGGGAUAACUUCGGGAAACCGGAGCUAAUACCGGAUAAUAUUUCGAACCGCAUGGUUCGAUAGUGAAAGAUGGUUUUGCUAUCACUUAUAGAUGGACCCGCGCCGUAUUAGCUAGUUGGUAAGGUAACGGCUUACCAAGGCGACGAUACGUAGCCGACCUGAGAGGGUGAUCGGCCACACUGGAACUGAGACACGGUCCAGACUCUUACGGGAGGCAGCAGUAGGGAAUCUUCCGCAAUGGGCGAAAGCCUGACGGAGCAACGCCGCGUGAGUGAUGAAGGUCUUCGGAUCGUAAAACUCUGUUAUUAGGGAAGAACAUACGUGUAAGUAACUGUGCACGUCUUGACGGUACCUAAUCAGAAAGCCACGGCUAACUACGUG